GGGUUGUGAGGUUAAGCGACUAAGCGUACACGGUGGAUGCCCUGGCAGUCAGAGGCGAUGAAGGACGUGCUAAUCUGCGAAAAGCGUCGGUAAGGUGAUAUGAACCGUUAUAACCGGCGAUGUCCGAAUGGGGAAACCCAGUGCAAUUCGUUGCACUAUCGUUAACUGAAUACAUAGGUUAACGAGGCGAACCGGGGGAACUGAAACAUCUAAGUACCCCGAGGAAAAGAAAUCAACCGAGAUUCCCCCAGUAGCGGCGAGCGAACGGGGAGCAGCCCAGAGUCUGAAUCAGCUUGUGUGUUAGUGGAACGGUCUGGAAAGUCCGACGGUACAGGGUGAUAGUCCCGUACACCAAAAUGCACAGGUUGUGAACUCGAAGAGUAGGGCGGGACACGUGGUAUCCUGUCUGAAUAUGGGGGGACCAUCCUCCAAGGCUAAAUACUCCUGACUGACCGAUAGUGAACCAGUACCGUGAGGGAAAGGCGAAAAGAACCCCGGCGAGGGGAGUGAAAAAGAACCUGAAACCGUGUACGUACAAGCAGUGGGAGCACCUUCGGGUGUGACUGCGUACCUUUUGUAUAAUGGGUCAGCGACUUAUAUUCUGUAGCAAGGUUAACCGUAUAGGGGAGCCGCAGGGAAACCGAGUCUUAACUGGGCGUUAAGUUGCAGGGUAUAGACCCGAAACCCGGUGAUCUAGCCAUGGGCAGGUUGAAGGUUGGGUAACACUAACUGGAGGACCGAACCGACUAAUGUUGAAAAAUUAGCGGAUGACUUGUGGCUGGGGGUGAAAGGCCAAUCAAACCGGGAGAUAGCUGGUUCUCCCCGAAAGCUAUUUAGGUAGCGCCUCGUGAACUCAUCUUCGGGGGUAGAGCACUGUUUCGGCUAGGGGGUCAUCCCGACUUACCAACCCGAUGCAAACUACGAAUACCGAAGAAUGUUAUCACGGGAGACACACGGCGGGUGCUAACGUCCGUCGUGAAGAGGGAAACAACCCAGACCGCCAGCUAAGGUCCCAAAGUCAUGGUUAAGUGGGAAACGAUGUGGGAAGGCACAGACAGCCAGGAUGUUGGCUUAGAAGCAGCCAUCAUUUAAAGAAAGCGUAAUAGCUCACUGGUCGAGUCGGCCUGCGCGGAAGAUGUAACGGGGCUAAACCAUGCACCGAAGCUGCGGCAGCGACACUAUGUGUUGUUGGGUAGGGGAGCGUUCUGUAAGCCUGCGAAGGUGACCUGUGAGGGUUGCUGGAGGUAUCAGAAGUGCGAAUGCUGACAUAAGUAACGAUAAAGCGGGUGAAAAGCCCGCUCGCCGGAAGACCAAGGGUUCCUGUCCAACGUUAAUCGGGGCAGGGUGAGUCGACCCCUAAGGCGAGGCCGAAAGGCGUAGUCGAUGGGAAACAGGUUAAUAUUCCUGUACUUGGUGUUACUGCGAAGGGGGGACGGAGAAGGCUAUGUUAGCCGGGCGACGGUUGUCCCGGUUUAAGCAUGUAGGCUGAUUGUCCAGGCAAAUCCGGAUAAUCAAGGCUGAGGUGUGAUGACGAGGCACUACGGUGCUGAAGUAACAAAUGCCCUGCUUCCAGGAAAAGCCUCUAAGCAUCAGGUAACAUUAAAUCGUACCCCAAACCGACACAGGUGGUCAGGUAGAGAAUACCAAGGCGCUUGAGAGAACUCGGGUGAAGGAACUAGGCAAAAUGGUGCCGUAACUUCGGGAGAAGGCACGCUGGUGUGUAGGUGAAGUCCCUGCGGAUGGAGCUGAGACCAGUCGAAGAUACCAGCUGGCUGCAACUGUUUAUUAAAAACACAGCACUGUGCAAACACGAAAGUGGACGUAUACGGUGUGACGCCUGCCCGGUGCCGGAAGGUUAAUUGAUGGGGUUAUCCGUAAGGAGAAGCUCUUGAUCGAAGCCCCGGUAAACGGCGGCCGUAACUAUAACGGUCCUAAGGUAGCGAAAUUCCUUGUCGGGUAAGUUCCGACCUGCACGAAUGGCGUAAUGAUGGCCAGGCUGUCUCCACCCGAGACUCAGUGAAAUUGAACUCGCUGUGAAGAUGCAGUGUACCCGCGGCAAGACGGAAAGACCCCGUGAACCUUUACUAUAGCUUGACACUGAACAUUGAGCCUUGAUGUGUAGGAUAGGUGGGAGGCUUUGAAGCGUGGACGCCAGUCUGCGUGGAGCCAACCUUGAAAUACCACCCUUUAAUGUUUGAUGUUCUAACGUUGGCCCCUGACCGGGGUUGCGGACAGUGUCUGGUGGGUAGUUUGACUGGGGCGGUCUCCUCCCAAAGCGUAACGGAGGAGCACGAAGGUUAGCUAAUCCUGGUCGGACAUCAGGAGGUUAGUGCAAUGGCAUAAGCUAGCUUGACUGCGAGCGUGACGGCGCGAGCAGGUGCGAAAGCAGGUCAUAGUGAUCCGGUGGUUCUGAAUGGAAGGGCCAUCGCUCAACGGAUAAAAGGUACUCCGGGGAUAACAGGCUGAUACCGCCCAAGAGUUCAUAUCGACGGCGGUGUUUGGCACCUCGAUGUCGGCUCAUCACAUCCUGGGGCUGAAGUAGGUCCCAAGGGUAUGGCUGUUCGCCAUUUAAAGUGGUACGCGAGCUGGGUUUAGAACGUCGUGAGACAGUUCGGUCCCUAUCUGCCGUGGGCGCUGGAGAAUUGAGGGGGGCUGCUCCUAGUACGAGAGGACCGGAGUGGACGCAUCACUGGUGUUCGGGUUGUCAUGCCAAUGGCACUGCCCGGUAGCUAAAUGCGGAAGAGAUAAGUGCUGAAAGCAUCUAAGCACGAAACUUGCCCCGAGAUGAGUUCUCCCUGAGACU
rnacentral:rRNA from 1 species